rnacentral:rRNA from 1 species
GUGGAAAAUCCAGAGCUAAUACGUGCAACUGAGCUCCGACCUCGACGCGAGUCUUGGGAAGAGCGCAUUUAUUAAAUACAAAACUGACCGGCGUACUCCUUCGGGAUACGCCGUUUGUCAAAAUUUGAUGACUCCGGAAUAACUUAGCCGAGCGCUACGGUCUUUAGUACCGGCGCCGUAUCUUUCAAGUGUCUGCCUUAUCAGCUUUCGAUUGUAGGUUAAACGCCUACAAUGGCUGUAACGGGUAACGGGGAAUCAGGGUUCGAUUCCGGAGAGGGAGCCUGAGAAACGGCUACCACAUCUAAGGAAGGCAGCAGGCACGCAAAUUACCCACUCCCAGCCCGGGGAGGUAGUGACGAAAAAUAACGAUGCGAGACUCUUCCGAGGCCUCGCAAUCGGAAUGAGUCCAUUUUAAAUCCUUGGACGAGGAUCCAUUGGAGGGCAAGUCUGGUGCCAGCAGCCGCGGUAAUUCCAGCUCCAAUAGCGUAUAUUAAAGUUGCUGCGGUUGAAAAGCUCGUAGUUGGACUUUCUAGAUCCAUUUCGUGGAUGAGUCGCUCUUCGUAUUAGCGUCUCGCGCCAGUUACUCGAUGACAUCGCCGSCGAGUUUCUCUUUUUYUACUUUUGUGGGAUUAGAGGCUUCCGACGUUUUGAUAUCUUGUGGACGGCGAGAAGCAAUCCUAGAGUAUAGCUCGUCCGCGUUUGGUACAAUUAAAAAUUUGUCGGCUCGCUCGGAGUGCUCUUUAYCGAGUGUUCCAGGGUGGCUGACACGUUCACUUUGAAAAAAUUAGAGUGCUUAAAGCGGGCUUAUUUACGGCCUAAAUGUCUGUGCAUGGAAUGAAGUAACAGGACCUCGAUUCUGUUGUUUUUGUCGGUUUUAAUGAACCGAGGUAAUGAUUAAAAGGGACAGACGGUGGCAUUAGUAUUGCGACGCUAGAGGUGAAAUUCUUGGACCGUCGCAAGACUAACUACUGCGAAAGCAUUUGCCGAGAAUGUUUUCAUUAAUCAAGAACGAAAGUUAGAGGAUCGAAGGCGAUCAGAUACCGCCCUAGUUCUAACCCUAAACUAUGCUAACUAGCGAUCCGCCGGAGUCAUUCC